GGUCAAGGUCAUCCAGAGACCUGUCCUCCUGCAUAGCCUUGUUGGGAAGGACCAACAGGUGGCUUGCUGGUGCCUGAGACACAAGAGACUGGUGAGAUGAGCUGAAAAUGGGAGGUAUUUAACGGGUGCUUACUCUGUGUCAUGUGCCCUUCUUGCUGCUGAACAAAGUGGAUAAAUUCCUUGCCUGAAAGUAAUUAAGGAAGAGGAGAAUGGAUACUGGAGAAAAUAGUGAUCCAUCACAGCCCACUCCUUUGGCCCUCCAUGUAGCCAGGCUCACCAUUUUUUCUCAGCAGUGGAGCGUAAUCACCACAUACCAACAACCCAAAGUCCUGUCUGGGUGCUGCAUCCAUCUCCAAGUCCAGGAUCUCUGGGUGAUGUGCUGUCCUCUCCAUCAAGUGACAGGGUGGCUCUUGCCUCCCACACCUACAUCCAGUAUGUAAUGAUGUUGUAGAAUGGUAUAUCUGCAAUAAAAUCUCUCUUUCACAAAUGGAAAAAAAAAAAAAAA
rnacentral:lncRNA from 1 species